GGAAGGAUCAUUAACACGUAUCCACGUAUCCACCCCUGUGCACUGUCAUUUCCGCCCUGCGCGUUACACGAAUGAGGAACGACUCGAGUAGCUUGAAUGGGAUCCGUCAAACGAUCGCUCUCGACUCAGCAUAUUUGAAGUGUCUUGUUUCGGCAAGCGCUUCGACCAUUGAAGUAACGUUUCCAGGCAAACCGCUGUUACCGAACUCUCCUUCAAGAGGGAAGUAAUGGCACUUAACAAAACAAUUUUCACCCUUUUUUGCUAGUUGAUUUAUCUUGUUGUUUCUCUUGUGAUUAAAUUCAUCGGAGAUUCACACGUUUAAUUUAUUUGAACGUUAAAAAUACAACUCUUAGCAAUGGAUAUCUAGGUUCUCGCAACGAUGAAGAACGCAGCGAAAUGCGAUACGUAAUGCGAAUUGCAGAAUUCAGUGAAUCAUCAAAUCUUUGAACGCAAAUUGCGCUCUCGGGUAGCCCUGGGAGCACGCCUCUCUCAGUAUCGGUUCAAUCACCGCUCAGCAGCGUUUGCAGGUAAUGUUACAGCUUCGGCUGUAUGUGCUUGUAGGCGUGAUGGCUGGAAAAUGAGUAUCAGUGUUUCACCACAUUGUUGCUUGAAAUAUAUGGAGUGAGUCUCAAUCUUUGUUUUCAUCACCUCAAGGCUUCGGCUGCGAUAGUUCCUAUGGGAGCGGUUGAUUUAGACGAGUGACGUGAAUACUGGCCCUCGGGUCUUUUUCUACGUGUAUCUUGUUUUAUUGGCCAUUCAGUUCCUGUGGGAGUGAACGUUGAAUUACAAAACCGAGCUCAUGUUCAGCGGCGCAAGCUGCAAUCGGCUAUUACUUAACUUCGUUAUUGUAAGAGUCUGAAUUUUGAUCUGAGAUGAAGCGAGACAACCCCCUGAAUUUAAGCAUAUUAAUAAGGGGAGGAAAAGAAACUAACAAGGAUUCCCUUAGUAACGGCGAGUGAAGCGGGAAGAGCUCAAUUUGAAAAUCGAUUUCCCAAGCGGGACAUCGAGUUGUAGCCUAGAGACGUACUAUCAGCUGAAACCUGGGUAUAAGUUCUUUGGAAUGAGGCAUCAUAGAGGGUGAGAAUCCCGUUUAUGACCCAAAGCUUUCAGCGUACGAUGUAUGUUCAUCGAGUCGAGUUGUUUGGGAUUGCAGCUCUAAAUGGGUGGUAAGUUUCAUCUAAAGCUAAAUAAUGGCGAGAGACCGAUAGCGAACAAGUACCGUGAGGGAAAGAUGAAAAGAACUUUGAAAAGAGAGUUAAAAGUACUUGAAAUUGCUAAGAGGGAAGCGCUGUCAACCAGUGAUAUGCGUCAUUCAUCGCUUUUGGCCCCACUAGUUAUUGUUGGUCGUUGGAAACUCGGCUUGCAGUGACGAAAAGGUGGUUGGAAGUUUAGGAUGGCGUGUCAGUCAAGAUCCAUUCGAUGAGUGGGAGAAAGUUGGAAGAAAGGUAGGAAACUUCGGUUUCUGUUAUAGUCUUCUGACCCUACCUCGCGUUGGAUGGAGGAAGGAAUAGUGCGCUGCUUGCGGCUUGGUCUCAUGCCCCUAUGGCCUCAGUUGCUCUGAUCGCAAUGCUAUCUUUGUGACGAAGGGUUGUACUGGGUAUGUGGAUCUUAUGUGCUAUCACGAUCUUGUACGAAAUGGUUGACAUCGACCCGUCUUGAAACACGGACCAAGGAGUCUAACAUCUAUGCGAGUAUUUGGGUGUCAAACCCGCAUGCGAAAUGAAAGUAAAGGCAGCUUCGGCUGCUGAGGUAGGAAUCCGGCAACGGAGGCACUAUCGACCGAUCAUCACUUGUGAAAGAUUUGAGUAAGAGCAUAUCUGUUGGGACCCGAAAGAUGGUGAUCUAUGCCUGAACAGGGUGAAGCCAGGGGAAACUCUGGUGGAGGCUCGUAGCGAUACUGACGUGCAAAUCGUUCGUCUGAUUUGGGUAUAGGGGCGAAAGACUAAUCGAACCAUCUAGUAGCUGGUUCCCUC
rnacentral:misc_RNA from 1 species